UUAGAAAUCCCGGGAGGGGGGGUGAAAAUUCCCAAAAAAAAAUUCGUGCAAAGGAAAAUGCCUGGAAAAAAAAUUCGUGCAGCCAUUACGUCAGAGAAAAAAAAUUCGUGCAAGCAAACAGCGAAGUAGAAAUAGUCUUGAAAAAAAAAUUCGUGCAGAGGUUAAAUGCAUUAAAAAAAAUUCCUGCAGAGACACGAGACUGAAAAAAAAAUUCGUGCCGCAAAAAUUUUAUACCCCCCCUCCCGGGAUUUCUAAUGGUCCGCCCCUUAUGUAU